rnacentral:rRNA from 1 species
UGCCAGCCGCCGCGGUAAUACGUAGGGGGCAAGCGUUGUCCGGAUUUAUUGGGCGUAAAGCGCGCGCAGGCGGCUUACUAAGUCUGAUGUGAAAGCCCACGGCUCAACCGUGGAGGGCCAUUGGAAACUGGUAAGCUUGAGUGUAGGAGAGGAGAAUGGAAUUCCUGGUGUAGCGGUGAAAUGCGCAGAUAUCAGGAAGAACACCCGUGGCUAAGGCGGUUCUCUAGUACGGUACUGACGCUGAGACGCGAAAGCGUGGGGAGCGAACAGGAUUAGAUA